AUUGAACGCUGGCGGCAGGCUUAACACAUGCAAGUCGAGCGCCCCGCAAGGGGAGCGGCAGACGGGUGAGUAACGCGUGGGAAUCUACCCAUCCCUACGGAAUAGCUCCGGGAAACUGGAAUUAAUACCGUAUACGCCCUACGGGGGAAAGAUUUAUCGGGGAUGGAUGAGCCCGCGUUGGAUUAGCUAGUUGGUGGGGUAAAGGCCUACCAAGGCGACGAUCCAUAGCUGGUCUGGGAGGAUGAUCAGCCACAUUGGGACUGAGACACGGGCCAAACUCCUACGGGGGGCAGCAGUGGGGAAUAUUGGACAAUGGGGGCAACCCUGAUCCAGCCAUGCCGCGUGAGUGAUGAAGGCCUUAGGGUUGUAAAGCUCUUUCACCGGGGAAGAUAAUGACGGUACCCGGAGAAGAAGCCCCGGCUAACUUCGUGCCAGCAGCCGCCGCCGUAA
rnacentral:rRNA from 1 species